CACGUAGGGCGCGAGCGUUGUCCGGAAUUAUUGGGCGUAAAGAGCUCGUAGGCGGCCUGUUGCGUCCGCUGUGAAAGCCCGGGGCUUAACCCCGGGUCUGCAGUGGAUACGGGCAGGCUAGAGGUAGGUAGGGGAGAAUGGAAUUCCCGGUGUAGCGGUGAAAUGCGCAGAUAUCGGGAGGAACACCGGUGGCGAAGGCGGUUCUCUGGGCCUUACCUGACGCUGAGGAGCGAAAGCGUGGGGAGCGAAUAGG
rnacentral:rRNA from 1 species